rnacentral:rRNA from 1 species
AGUGAACGCUGGCGGUAGGCCUAACACAUGCAAGUCGAACGGCAGCACAGUAAGAGCUUGCUCUUACGGGUGGCGAGUGGCGGACGGGUGAGGAAUACAUCGGAAUCUACUUUUUCGUGGGGGAUAACGUAGGGAAACUUACGCUAAUACCGCAUACGACCUACGGGUGAAAGCAGGGGAUCUUCGGACCUUGCGCGAUUGAAUGAGCCGAUGUCGGAUUAGCUAGUUGGCGGGGUAAAGGCCCACCAAGGCGACGAUCCGUAGCUGGUCUGAGAGGAUGAUCAGCCACACUGGAAGUGAGACACGGUCCAGACUCCUCCGGGAGGCAGCAGUGGGGAAUAUUGGACAAUGGGCGCAAGCCUGAUCCAGCCAUACCGCGUGGGGGAAGAAGGCCUUCGGGUUGUAAAGCCCUUUUGUUGGGAAAGAAAAGCAGCAGGUUAAUACCCCGCUGUUCUGACGGUACCCAAAGAAUAAGCACCGGCUAACUUCGUG